rnacentral:rRNA from 1 species
UAGAGGAAGUAAAAGUCGUAACAAGGUCUCCGUUGGUGAACCAGCGGAGGGAUCAUUACUGAGUUUACGCUCUAUAACCCUUUGUGAACAUACCUAUAACUGUUGCUUCGGCGGGUAGGGUCUCCGUGACCCUCCCGGCCUCCCGCCCCCGGGCGGGUCGGCGCCCGCCGGAGGAUAACCAAACUCUGAUUUAACGACGUUUCUUCUGAGUGGUACAAGCAAAUAAUCAAAACUUUUAACAACGGAUCUCUUGGUUCUGGCAUCGAUGAAGAACGCAGCGAAAUGCGAUAAGUAAUGUGAAUUGCAGAAUUCAGUGAAUCAUCGAAUCUUUGAACGCACAUUGCGCCCGCCAGCAUUCUGGCGGGCAUGCCUGUUCGAGCGUCAUUUCAACCCUCAAGCUCUGCUUGGUGUUGGGGCCCUACAGCUGAUGUAGGCCCUCAAAGGUAGUGGCGGACCCUCCCGGAGCCUCCUUUGCGUAGUAACUUUACGUCUCGCACUGGGAUCCGGAGGGACUCUUGCCGUAAAACCCCCAAUUUUCCAAAGGUUGACCUCGGAUCAGGUAGGAAUACCCGCUGAACUUAAGCAUAUCAAUAAGCGG